rnacentral:rRNA from 1 species
GACGGUCUUGCUGUCACUUAUAGAUGGAUCCGCGCUGCAUUAGCUAGUUGGUAAGGUAACGGCUUACCAAGGCAACGAUGCAUAGCCGACCUGAGAGGGUGAUCGGCCACACUGGAACUGAGACACGGUCCAGACUCCUACGGGAGGCAGCAGUAGGGAAUCUUCCGCAAUGGGCGAAAGCCUGACGGAGCAACGCCGCGUGAGUGAUGAAGGUCUUCGGAUCGUAAAACUCUGUUAUUAGGGAAGAACAUAUGUGUAAGUAACUGUGCACAUCUUGACGGUACCUAAUCAGAAAGCCACGGCUAACUACGUGCCAGCAGCCGCGGUAAUACGUAGGUGGCAAGCGUUAUCCGGAAUUAU